rnacentral:rRNA from 1 species
UAGCUAGUUGGUGAGGUAAAGGCUUACCAAGGCGACGAUCUGUAGCGGGUCUGAGAGGAUGAUCCGCCACACUGGAACUGAGACACGGUCCAGACUCCUACGGGAGGCAGCAGUGGGGAAUUUUGGACAAUGGGGGCAACCCUGAUCCAGCCAUGCCGCGUGAGUGAAGAAGGCCUUCGGGUUGUAAAGCUCUUUCGGCCGGGAAGAAAUCGCAUGGGCCAAUACCCUGUGUGGAUGACGGUACCGGAAUAAGAAGCACCGGCUAACUACGUGCCAGCAGCCGCGGUAAUACGUAGGGUGCGAGCGUUAGUCGGAAUUACUGGGCGUAAAGCGUGCGCAGGCGGUUUUGUAAGACAGGCGUGAAAUCCCCGGGCUUAACCUGGGAACUGCGUUUGUGACUGCAAGGCUAGAGUACGGCAGAGGGGGGUGGAAUUCCACGUGUAGCAGUGAAAUGCGUAGAGAUGUGGAGGAACACCAAUGGCGAAGGCAGCCCCCUGGGUCGAUACUGACGCUCAUGCACGAAAGCGUGGGUAGCAAACAGGAUUAGAUACCCUGGUAGUCCACGCCCUAAACUAUGUCAACUAGGUGUUGGGUGGGUAAAACCAUUUAGUACCGUAGCUAACGCGUGAAGUUGACCGCCUGGGGAGUACGGCCGCAAGGUUAAAACUCAAAGGAAUUGACGGGGACCCGCACAAGCGGUGGAUGAUGUGGAUUAAUUCGAUGCAACGCGAAAAACCUUACCUACCCUUGACAUGCCAGGAACUUGCCAGAGAUGGCUUGGUGCCCGAAAGGGAGCCUGGACACAGGUGCUGCAUGGCUGUCGUCAGCUCGUGUCGUGAGAUGUUGGGUUAAGUCCCGCAACGAGCGCAACCCUUGUCGUUAAUUGCCAUCAUUUAGUUGGGCACUUUAACGAGACUGCCGGUGACAAACCGGAGGAAGGUGGGGAUGACGUCAAGUCCUCAUGGCCCUUAUGGGUAGGGCUUCACACGUCAUACAAUGGUCGGUACAAAGGGUUGCCAAGCCGCGAGGCGGAGCCAAUCCCAGAAAGCCGAUCGUAGUCCGGAUUGCAGGCUGCAACUCGCCUGCAUGAAGUCGGAAUCGCUAGUAAUCGUGGAUCAGCAUGUCACGGUGAAUACGUUCCCGGGUCUUGUACACACCGCCCGUCACACCAUGGGAGCGGGUUCCGCCAGAAGUAGGUAGCCUAACCGCAAGGGGGGCGCUUACCACGGCGGGGUUCGUGACUGGGGUGAAGUCGUAACAAGGUAGCCGUAGGGGAACCUGCGGCUG